GGACAGAAAGACCCUAUGAAGCUUUACUGUAGUUUGGAAUUGGGUUCGGGCUCUUCUUGCGCAGCCUAGGUGGGAGGCUAUGAAGAUAAACUUUUGGGUUUAUUGGAGCCGACAGUGAGAGACCACUCUAGAGGAGCUAGAAUUCUAAUGGCGUUCCUUGAAGCAGGACGCUUGACAGUUUCAGAUGGGCAGUUUGACUGGGGCGGUCACCUCCUAAAAGGUAACGGAGGUGUGCAAAGGUUCCCUCAGGCUGGACGGAAAUCAGCCGUAGAGUGUAAAGGCAGAAGGGAGCUUGACUGCAAGACCUACAAGUCGAGCAGGGGCGAAAGCCGGCCUUAGUGAUCCGACGGUUCCGAGUGGAAGGGCCGUCGCUAAACGGAUAAAAGUUACUCUAGGGAUAACAGGCUGA
rnacentral:rRNA from 1 species